rnacentral:rRNA from 1 species
CCUACGGGAGGCAGCAGUGGGGAAUAUUGGGCAAUGGGCGCAAGCCUGACCCAGCAACGCCGCGUGAAGGAAGAAGGCUUUCGGGUUGUAAACUUCUUUUAAGGGGGAAGAGCAGAAGACGGUACCCCUUGAAUAAGCCACGGCUAACUACGUGCCAGCAGCCGCGGUAAUACGUAGGUGGCAAGCGUUGUCCGGAUUUACUGGGUGUAAAGGGCGUGCAGCCGGAGAGACAAGUCAGAUGUGAAAUCCACGGGCUCAACCCGUGAACUGCAUUUGAAACUGUUUCCCUUGAGUGUCGGAGAGGUAAUCGGAAUUCCUUGUGUAGCGGUGAAAUGCGUAGAUAUAAGGAAGAACACCAGUGGCGAAGGCGGAUUACUGGACGAUAACUGACGGUGAGGCGCGAAAGCGUGGGGAGCAAACAGGAUUAGAUACCCCUGUAUC